CACGGGGGGAGCAAGCGUUGUUCGGAAUCACUGGGCGUAAAGGGCGUCUAGGCGGUCAGGUAAGUCGGGUGUGAAACCCCCAGGCUCAACCUGGGGACGCCACCCGAUACUGCUGUGGCUAGAGUCCAGUAGGGGAGUGUGGAAUUCCCGGUGUAGCGGUGAAAUGCGCAGAUAUCAGGAGGAACACCUGUGGUGUAGACAGCUUACUGGACCACGACUGACGCUGAGACACGAAAGCGUGGGUAGCAAACAGG
rnacentral:rRNA from 1 species